rnacentral:sRNA from 1 species
GAAGGACUGAUAGAUAAAGUCAACGAGUUGAAGUUGGAUGACAAUGAAGCACUUAUAGAGAAGUUGAAACAUGGUCAGUUUACGUUGCGAGACAUGUAUGAGCAAUUUCAAAAUAUCAUGAAAAUGGGCCCCUUCAGUCAGAUCUUGGGGAUGAUCCCUGGUUUUGGGACAGAUUUUAUGAGCAAAGGAAAUGAACAGGAGUCAAUGGCAAGGCUAAAGAAAUUAAUGACAAUAAUGGAUAGUAUGAAUGAUCAAGGUAAGAUGGCAGAUUAUUUUCCUCAGGCAAAAAUGUUCUGAGUAUCAGUAAGAUGAGAGUUUCACUGUAUUCUUGUGGACAAGAUGGGGAGAAAUUUAGCCUGAAAGAUUAUUUUUGGGUAGAUUUGUAAUAGCUUGAAAGCUCUUACUCAAAGGGUUAUGAUUAUUGGAUUGCCUUCAUCGUUGAGAGAAAUGUCUAGUAUAAUACUUCUCCAAAUGAGUUACAAGGAAAGAACACUAGUUCUUCAUGAUGUUCAUAGAGUUAACUUAAAAGGAGAACUCUGAGUCAAAUGUGGUGGAAUGCUAGUUUUUAAAGAG